rnacentral:lncRNA from 1 species
UAGCAAGCCUGGAGUGAGUCACGCAUCCAGUCCCCUGGGCAGCCGUGUGCGCAGCGAGCUCUCCUGGGUGCUGACUUGGUGCCAGGCUGCACAGCUGGUGCUGGGAAAGGUGCCAGGUUUCCUGCGGGGGCCUCACGAGGUAGGGCCAGGAGCCUGGAAUCUGAUGGCCACCUGCUCCUGGCUUGAAUCUAGAGUCUGCUGGCAUCUCUGCCUCUGAGCCCUGCUCGCCUCAGAACGCUUCUGCGCAGGCCGGCUCCUCCCCAGGGCCCACGCCUCCUAGCCCUCAGUCCUUUGCCCCUCCCAGGCCUCUCCUUGCCUGCCCCCCACCACACUGAAGAGUACGGGGAUUCUAAAGAGCUUCGAGCUGUGAGCGAAGUAGAAGCAACCAGGGCUCCUGGAUCCCCCUAGCCUUGGGAAUAUGCACACUCUGUGGCCCAUGUUUCUAGAAGACUCUUCAGUCGACUGCCUCUCUUUCUUCCUGUCCGACGUGGAACCUCAGUCGGCACCUCUCUGCUGAGCUGUGGUUCUUGGGUCUAAUGUGGGGGUUCUGUACACAGCUGGUACUGAACUGCUUGCUCAAGAAAAUGGUGACAACUUGGAGAGAGACUCUGAGAGGCUGUGGGAGUCCCUGGAGCUGUGGUGGGGCCUUCUCUGCGAAGCCCACAUACCUGCGGCUGCCCCCUCAGCACCCACACCUGCUGAAGUGGCCUGCCUGGCCGGACCUGCCCCCCCACCCUCUUCACUAGAUGAACCUGAGGAUGAGGAACUCCAGGCGGACCUAGAGCAGAUGUGGGCGCAGCAAGUGGCCAUCCCGUGUCCGGCAUCCGCUUAAUUGAGAGCUAGGUUGGGUGGGUGCGGGCCUCAGGCCCAGCAGAACUGGGAGCGCCCCACUGCUGUUGGGCCAAUCGAAGCUCUUCUGCAGGGAGCAGGGCCUGAAGCUGCACCUCAUCGUCAGUCCCCGAGCAGCAGGACCCAGGGCAGGACGUGGCAGUUCCUCAGCGCCCCUCCACACUCACGUGCCAAGCAGCACCCGGUGAAGCAGGGGGAUUUCGAAGCUUUCUGGGUCCAAUGUCCUGACAGGCCUCUUAGCCUCCCCACCCC